GACGAACGCUGGCGGCGUGCCUAAUACAUGCAAGUCGAACGCAUUUUCUUUCACCGUAGCUUGCUACACCGAAAGAAAAUGAGUGGCGAACGGGUGAGUAACACGUGGGUAACCUGCCCAUCAGCGGGGGAUAACACUUGGAAACAGGUGCUAAUACCGCAUAAUUCCAUUUACCGCAUGGUAAAUGGAUGAAAGGCGCUUUUGCGUCACUGAUGGAUGGACCCGCGGUGCAUUAGCUAGUUGGUGGGGUAACGGCCUACCAAGGCUGCGAUGCAUAGCCGACCUGAGAGGGUGAUCGGCCACACUGGGACUGAGACACGGCCCAGACUCCUACGGGAGGCAGCAGUAGGGAAUCUUCGGCAAUGGACGCAAGUCUGACCGAGCAACGCCGCGUGAGUGAAGAAGGUUUUCGGAUCGUAAAACUCUGUUGUUAGAGAAGAACAAGGAUGAGAGUGGAAAGUUCAUCCCUUGACGGUAUCUAACCAGAAAGCCACGGCUAACUACGU
rnacentral:rRNA from 1 species